rnacentral:lncRNA from 1 species
UUCAAUUCAACUUGGUUUCAGUUGGGUAUUCCUCAACCCAAUAGGUACAAUUAAAAGAAGAUUUUUCUUCCUCCUCCCAUCAUUCUCUUAUCUUUAUGAGAAUAAAGUUCGGAAUGUAUAUUCCAAACAUUUUUUAGUGUAUUUUAACGGGACAUGCCACAUUAUGGACUUAACAAUUACAAAAAUUUGGAAAAUAUGUUCCGAAUUUUAUUCCCAAAGACAAAAACAAGAUUUCAGGGGAUAAGAUAAGAGAAUGAAAUUUGGAAUCUAUGUUUUUUUUUACAUGUUGGUUUCUAUUUUUGCCCUUGGAUAAAUAUUUUCGAACGCAUUUUCCGAAUUUUUUUUGCCUUGGAAAAAAUUUCGGAAUGUGUUUUCCGAAAUUUUUCCGAAUUUGAACUAGAAAAACUUCAUAAAAUGCAUUCAGAAGUUUUUAUACAAGGGCAAAAAAGAAUAAAAGGGGGUAGAAAAGAAAAUGUUGGGAGAGACAGGCUUGGUAGGCAUAGCCGCACACAUUCUUCUGCUCGUAGAGAGCUUGCUGCUAAUGCUCCUCCAAAAAGAGGUCGUCGUAGAUAAGGAUCACCUUUGGUGCAAGGAACGCAUAAUCAAGUAGUGGGGGAUUCAGCCGCCAUUGGUACACGAUCACGUUCAAGACGAGCACAAGUUGAUGUAGUUGAUGCAAAAUAUGAGUAUGUUAAUGAAGGUCAACAUAUGACUGAUUAUGCAGUGUGGGCUGAGGAAGAGUCUCAACCACAACCAACACACCCUAUUAGCAACAAAAAGAUCCGAAGAAUUAAUUUUUGUUUAUUUUUUGUAAACUAUCAAUUUCAGAUAAAAAAUAAACAUGUUUUUG